AAAUUAAAUAAAGUGAUGAAAAUAAAAAUAAAAAAGUAAGACGAUGUAACUCUUUAGAACUAUUAGAUCAUUCACUUUUUUCAUUUCUUUUCUUUUUUCACGAAAUUCUUGAUCUAAACAUAGCAUAAAACACCUCCAAACUUCAACUUCAUCAAUUGCAAAUCCAUGUGAGGACAUACUCAAAGCAGAGGUCAAGUUCGAAACUGGCCUUAGCUAUGCCUCUUUUUGUAUAUUUCCUUGAUAAUAUCUGAAUCUGUGUGUGGUAUUUAAAAUGCAUUCCCUGAAUCUCUAUAGUAAGGUUUUAAAAUUUUAUUGCUAUUUCCAUAAUUGAAACUCAGUGACAGUAAGUAUAUAUAUCACUUCACUUCAAGAAAGUGAAGUGAUACCGUCUUAUUUGAAUGUAAUAUUUAAUAUUCAAAAUUUAUUAACUUUUAUGUGUAUGUGAGGUCCAUUAUAUCUAUAUUCUAGUUUUUAAUAGAUGGUGAUAUCGCAUGUAGAGAUGGCAAUCUCCGCUCCACCCUGCCUCCACCCUAAUUGAGGCGAAUAUCCACAUACUUUUAGGAAAUGGAGUGAGGAUAAAGAAAAAUGUGAACAUGUCGAGGGAUCAUUAUGCAUACCUCCAUUCCAAAUCUCUUCUUUGAAUGAUAAGAAGCACAAUCACUUAAACUAGGCUAAAGUCUAAUUCAAACAUAGCCUUAACAACUCCAUAUUAUAGAAACAAAAACUAAGUAAUAGUGAACUUAAAAAUUGGGCGUAUCCCAAUUUGUAUUACUAUUUUUUUCCUAGCUUCUUAUUUGCACCUCACAAUUAAAAAAUCUAUAAUCUGUUGAAAGAAACUGCACUAGUAAAUGAUAUGGUUAGAAGUUACAGGAUCUAAAGGUUCGAGAUGAUUGAAUCAUCUAACGUUUCUAAUGUCAGAGUCAAGAGUAAAUGGGUCAAAAAGAGAUUUCUGUAAAAGCACAACGCAAGGUGUAAUUACCCAAAAAUAAUACUGAGUCAACACAAGUGAGUCAAAAGCCGAGUGAACGAACAACGCAAAGUGUCAGAAACGCACCUUGGAUGUGGAGAGCCUUUGUUUUGAAUCUUUGAUGGGUUGUGACCGUUCAUAGAGCCGCACUUCCUCUUCCCCUACGACGAAGGCCGCGGCGGCCGACCACUCCCUGCCGACGCCGACGACGACAACGAAUUCGCCGCUGAUUUUUUGAGGAAGCGGAAGUAAACAAUAAACCCUAGAAAUCGAAUCCGUUUUUUUUUAAUGGUCCGAUUCUGAUCCAACAGCUCUGAUUCUCUGAUUUUCUCUUGUUAAGAAUCUCUUGUUAAGAAAUCAUAGGGUCCUCUUCUGAAGCGAGCGUGGCCGAUUUUGGUCCGAUUGAUCAUAGUGAAAAAACAUGGCCCUAGUCAUAAUGGGUCCCGCAUAAUAAUGGGUCCCAAAGUCAACAAGGAUCAUGACUAUAUUUAGCCUGGUAAUGCUUAAAAGCAAAUUUUUUUUUUAGUUUGCUACUAAAAAAUUUAAAAAAUUUAAAAAAUUUAGAUUUUUUUGCUUUCAUAUAUUUACUUUAGCUAAAAAAAAUUAAAAAAAUCAACUCUAGUGGUUUUUUUGCUUAUAAGCUUAACGUCUUGUCAGGGCAAAUGUUUUUUUUGAAUUUUUUUAAUAGUCUUAACUUUUGAUUUUUUUUUAUUUUAAAUAAUUUUUUUAAUUAUUUUAUUAAAAUUUUAUAUUUUAUCGAUUCUUCUGUGGAUGGAAAUCCAAAAAUAUAAAUAAUUUUAUAUAAUUUAUAAAAAAACUCACUAAAGAUAAAAAAUUAUUUUUUAGAUUUUUUUGAAUGAAAUUAUUAUUUUUGGCCUUUUGUAUUUUUUUUCAAAUUAGAUGAAUAUUUUUAUAUUUUUAGACUAUAAUCAAGAUCAAAUGGAAAAAAGAGUUAACUAAAAUACCAAAAAACAGAGUCGGCAGAGAUUUGUAAAAGAAAAAAAAUAUUAAACUUGAAUCGUUAGAUUCGUUGACUUUUCUUUUUUUUUUUCUCUACCAAAUCAUAAAUCCAAAUAUAGCCUUGAACAAUUUAAGAUUGUAUUUCAAUAAAAAAAUUGGUAAGAUUUGUUAAGGAAAAUGAAAAAUUAAAAAAAAGAAAAUGCUACACAUCAUCCAAAGAACGGUGAUUUUUUUUUAAUAGGAAAGAAAUAUAUUGAUAAUUAUGAAAAUUGUAUAUAAAUUUAUAAAUAUUCGUAUUAACUACCGCUCAAUAAAUCUAACAAGCGAUGAUUGAGAGUGAAGUCAUGUGUCCAAUUGUUUUUGGUUUCAAUUUAUAUUUAUAUUUAAUGGGGUAUGAGGCCCAUAACCCAUGCACGCGAGAUCUAUUAUGUAUAUUAUUAAUUGAAUGACGAUAUGGAAUAAAAUUGAAUGAUAAGAAUAAGUUUGUAGAUAGAUUGUCAUAUUUUAAGACAAUUUUGAUUUGUAAUCAUACUGCUAUAAAUAUUAAAUCAAUUUAACUUUUUUUUUAUAGACAAUCUAUGUUCAUAGACUUAAAAAAAUGAAUCGAUUGAGAUCCUGUUUUGGGUAUUUAUUUAUUUUAUCUUUUUAUGUUAGUAAAUUUUUUUCAUCGUUUUUUUAAAUUUUAAAUUUUUUUAGUUUAUUUUGACAAGAAUAGUCCGAAGAUAGAUUUUUUUUUUAUCUAAUUUGAUUUUUUUUUAUUAAAAACGAUUAUAUUUUUUGACUCCUUUUGUCAAUAAAAAUUAAAAAAAUAUAAAUUUUUAAUCAAACAAAAAAAUAAAUUCACUAUAAAUAAAAACUUGAAAAUAAAAAAAUAAAAAUAUCCAAACUUGAAUCGAUGAAUCUUUUAGUCAUCCAAACCGGACCGACAUAGCACAAAAAUCAAAUCUAUUUGGAUAAACUGCAGAAUUCACGUGUAUACUGAAAAUCAAAGGCUGACAGCCUCGUCAAUCAGCGCAUUAAAUUGGAAAAUUAUUCAGUGCUUUGAGCGCAAGUCCUAGUAGUGUUCUAACAUUAGAAUGAUUGAUCUAAAAUACUGAUAUUCAUUAACUUUUGUGUAUAAAUUGUAGUCGACAUGUGCAAAUGUAUCACUCAGUAAAUGAUGUAGAGCAAUACUCUAAGAGUAUCGAAUAAUCUCUCAUUAAAUUUGGAUCAGCUGGGCUUGAAUCUGAACCGAAGUCCAGUUACAAGCAUUCACGAGGUGAGCAUCUUUUGUGAAGAUAGACCCAUCAUCCAUCCCGACCCAAUAGUGGCCGCAAAAAGUUCUGGCCCGGCCCACCUUCAUAGCACGUCCAAUUCAGAUCAUUUGUCCAAAUCGUUCGACCGAUUAGCCUAGAUUAUUCGGCCCGUUUUUUGGCCCAACCCAUCCGAUCCUCCACACUUCUCCAGCGCCAAGAACUGUACCAUUGGACUAAACUCAUUCAUUAAUAAAAAUAUUAAAUUUUAAUAAAUAAAUACAUCGUCAAAUAAUAAAAAAGAGGAGAAUUUUUUAGGGACCAAUAUUUGAACCCGCAACCUCGACCCUCUGCACCUAGAACCAUACUACUAGGCCAAACACUCAAUUCAUUUAUAAAAAGGUUAUGUUUUAAUAGUAAACAAAUCGCCAAACAAUAACAAGAAAAGAAGAAUAUUUGAGAGAGCAAGAUUCGAACUCACAACCUCCCUCCCCUGCAGCUUGAACCAUACUACUGGACCAAACACUUAUUCAUUUAUAAAAAUUAGUAAUUGUCCGUACCCACGAGCACUAUGUAAAAAAAAAUAUUACUUCUUAAGCAUACUCGUUAGAGUUUUGCAACAUAAAAAAACACAUAAGAUAUAAAUGUCAGAUAAGAGAUUUAUUGUAUGCAUAUACGAAAGGAUACAUUACUAUAAAAUAGAAAAUAAAUUAAAAAGUAUAAUAAUUUUUAAAAAAAUAUUACUAAUUUGAGAGAAAUGAGAAGAAAAGAAAGGGGGUUUUAUUUUUUUUGUAUGUGGGUCCCACUAAAAAAAUAAUUCAAUCAGUGAAACAUAUGCCCACAUUUUUAGAAAUUCUUUGGCUAUUGAACCACAACCUAUAUGAGACCUAUAACUUUAUAAAGAAGAAAAUAAUAUUUUUUGGGGAGAAAAACUAGUCUCAUGUGAAAUUUCAGUCAUUGGAUUAACUAAAAUGGAUUUCAACCGUAAAUAGUGUUUGAUAGUUUGAAAGAUUCAAAAAUUAUUGUGUCUUAUAUUAUAGAUAUUAGAUUUUAAUAAUAAACACUCAUUUGUUUAUGAAAAUAUAUUUAACAUUAUUUAUCAAUAGGCAAUAAAUGAAAUUAAUCUUUUGACUCUUUUAUUUGUUUAGUCAAUCCUAAUUUAUUGUUUAAUAGAAAUAAAUUAUUGUUGUAAAUUAUUAAAAUAUAAUUUUUAUUUUUUAUUUUUUUUAAAUAAUAAAAAAUAUUUGUAAUAUUAAAAAAAUAAACAUAUAUGAAAGAUAUAACAUUACAUUAAUUACAAAAUGUAUCAGAACGUCGCUAAAAUUAAAUAAAAAAAGCAUUAAAAAAUUAAACUGGACUUGUCCAUCCUGAACCGGACCGUUACUAGAGCAGUCAAGCCCGUUAUUAUAACGGUCUAGUCUAAUAGACCGAUCUAGGCCAGGAGAAUGGCUAACGGUCUAGGCAAAAUUCAAACCGUUACUUAGCGAUCUAAACAAACCCUAAAUUAGGGGUGUCCAUGGUCCAAAUUGGUCCGAUUUCAUAAGAAUCCAGUAACCAAUCCAUAUUUAACGGUUCUAAAAAAAUAAGAACCAGAACCUAACCAUACAAGUAUAGAACCAAACCAAAACCGAUCCGCGAUUAUCGGUUCGGUUCCGGUUCAAUCCAAUUAAUAUUUUAAAUAUUUUAUAAAAUAUAAAAUUAUAACAAUUAUUUAUUUAAAUAACCCAUAACUUCCAUUAAUACUUUAAGUCAUGAAACAAAAAUAGUAUAAAAUAGUUCAUAGAUUGACUCCUUAAAUGAUAUUACACCAAUCAACUCUAUAUUGCAAUUACCAACUCUAA
rnacentral:lncRNA from 1 species